rnacentral:rRNA from 1 species
AUUGAACGCUGGCGGCAGGCCUAACACAUGCAAGUCGAGCGAGCGGCGGACGGGUGAGUAAUGUAUGGGGGCUGCCCGAUAGAGGGGGAGAACUCCUGGGGACGGUGGCGCAUACAGCAUAUGAUCUGAGAACGCCUAUAGGAUUAGCUAGUAGUGGAGGUAAUGGCUCACCUAGGCGACGAGCCCUAGCUGGUCUGAGAGGAUGAUCAGCCAAACUGUGACUGAGACACGGCCCAGACUCCUACGGAGGCAGCAGUGGGGAAUAGUGCACAAUGGGCGCAAGCCUGAUGCAGCCAUGCCGCGUGUAUGAAGAAGGCCCUAGGGUUGUAAAGUACUUUCAGUCGGGAGGCGUUACCGACAGAAGAAGCACCGGCUAACUCCGUGCCAGCAGCCGCGGUAAUUC